rnacentral:ncRNA from 1 species
ACAAUUCCGAAGAAGAGGCAUAGUAGUUAAGGUAGCAGGUAAAAAGAGAGGAAAGGUCGUGGCUGAGAGCCUUCCAUAUCUGUCUUAAUGAAUGAACACCUCAGAGGAGUUUUUCUGAACGUAAAUACUAGUAGGAAAAGACGUAUACAGGCGUUAACUGUUUAAAGAGGAAGCAGUAUUGUUGCUUCAAUUUAGGGUGGCACCACGGGUAUAACUCUCGUCCCUGAU